CCCUUAGAUGUUCUGGGCCGCACGCGCGCUACACUGAUGCAUUCAACGAGUCUAAAACCUGCUCUGAUAGGGGUGGGUAAUCUUUUGAAUGUGCAUCGUGAUUGGGAUAGAUGAUUGAAAUUUUUCAUCUUCAACGAGGAAUGCCUAGUAAACGCAAGUCAUCAGCUUGCAUUGAUUACGUCCCUGCCCUUUGUACACACCACCCGUCGCUCCUACCGAUUGAAUGAUCCGAUGAAUAUCAUGGAUUGAGGAUGCAAGUAGGUUCACCUAUCUUCAUCUUCGAGAAGUGAAGUAAAUCUUAUCAUUUAGAGGAAGGAGAAGUCGUAACA
rnacentral:rRNA from 1 species